rnacentral:lncRNA from 1 species
UUGAUAUGGAUGGGGUGAUGAUUCCUUUGAUAAUAGGAGAAAAUGUCCAUAUGACUUCUUUAUGUUGCAAGACAUAUCUUUGCUUAGGCCACAGUUGGAUCUCAUGUUCCUCCCUUGUAUGCCAUAAUUAAUCAGAUUUCAAUAGCCACUAAAUUCAAACGACCCUCCCACCUAUAGUUUUUUUUUAAAAAGCCAGUCUAACAACUACCAAUUUCUGAUUGUGGGCACAUACUGUAUUAUGACUACAUGAGAGGAAUCGUGAUGAAUGCUGGCCUUUGGUGAGACUUGGAUCUGUCAUAUAUUUUGUUCAAUUUCCUGAAUAAUUUAGUUUUUCUAUUCAUCCAUUGUUUUAGGUCAUCUAAAUUAAUUUAGAGAAAUCUGAUUUGAUGUACAAACUCUUUACAGUAUGUGCGCAUGUGUGCCUUAUAAGGAAGAGACAAAUUGCUGUCUCAUCCCAUAUUUACCUGUGAAAUGACUUUAAAUAGGAAAGAGUGUGUUUCCACACACUCAUGUAAAAAUAAUUACAAAAUAUGAACAUUUUUCAUGCACUCACCAGUUAAAGGUAGUACCUACUAUGAUCAAAGGUAAUACUUAUUUUAUUAAAAGGUAGUACCCGAAUGGUCAAAAGUAGUACCUUUAACAAAAAAAUGCUUACCUUUAACAAAAAAAUGCAGCAUGCUAAUUAUUUUUAGAUAACCGCCUAAAAUUUGUAUUUUAUAAAUUUGGGUUCCUAUUUUGUGGUUUUUUUAUAUGAAUGUAUGAAAAGACACUUUUCCCCUUUAGAUAACCCCCUCUUACAAUUUUGAUUGUUAUUAUUGUAAAAAACAAAAUAAAAUAAAAUAUUAACUACACAUGAGUAUGCCCCAUAAAUAACCUCUCUACCCUUCUAACUUCUUCGGAAAAUCUUUCUACAAUUCAUGUUUCUUAUAAUUCCUUUCUUCUUUCUCAACUUCUCAUUUGCCUUAUAAUCUUAGUGCCCCUGUUUAUAUAUAGUGCCUAUGGGUUGAUCUGAUUUAAUAUCAUAACAAAAGAGGAAGUUCUACAAAUUAUUUGAAAAUCCGCACAUUUAUUCAAAAUCCCCAAAAGUUGGCUAUGUCAAAGGCAAUUAGGCAUUGAAGUUUUUAAGGUUAAUUCAAAUGAAUUACCAGUCAUUGAUUUCAGUGGGAUCUUGAAAUAUAGGUAUGGGAAGCUAUCCAACUGAAUAUCCAUUGAGCCAUUGUGAAACUGCAACUUAAAAAAUCUCU